CCUACGGGUGGCAGCAGUGAGGAAUAUUGGUCAAUGGGCGAGAGCCUGAACCAGCCAAGUCGCGUGAGGGAGUACUGCCCUAUGGGUUGUAAACCUCUUUUGUCGGGGAGCAAAAGCCGGACGUGUCCGGCUGUGAGAGUACCCGAAGAAAAAGCAUCGGCUAACUCCGUGCCAGCAGCCGCGGUAAUACGGAGGAUGCGAGCGUUAUCCGGAUUUAUUGGGUGUAAAGGGUGCGCAGGCGGAUGUUUAAGUCAGCGGUAAAAUCGUGGGGCUCAACCCCAUCCAGCCGUUGAAACUGGGGAUCUAGAGUGUGCGAGAGGUAUGCGGAAUGCGUGGUGUAGCGGUGAAAUGCAUAGAUAUCACGCAGAACCCCGAUUGCGAAGGCAGCAUACCGGUGCACAACUGACGCUCAGGCACGAAAGCGUGGGUAUCGAACAGGAUUAGAUACCCCAGUAGUC
rnacentral:rRNA from 1 species